rnacentral:lncRNA from 1 species
ACAUUUGGGGCCACCAAAAGUCCCUCGAUAUUAGUUCCAAAGUUUUAUUGUACCCAAAAUGUCAUGUUGCUAGAAAAUCAUGACGAGAUUGAAAAACUUGUAAUCGAGCUUCACCUUCUAGAACAUAUAGGUGUCCCUCAAAAUAUAGUAGAUUCUUCUUGAAUUCAAAUUUAGAAGUAUCAUGAGACUUUGAAGGAUUUCCCUUAAUAUCACAAAUAAGAGGAUUAGAAGACAUACUUGACUGAACUUGCUUAAUAAAAAUUGAAUCAUCAAUUAAUGUUGAUUUCAUUGCUCAAAGAUAAAGAUACUUUAGCUUCAAGAGAAUUUUUUAUUGUAGAUCAAAAGUAGCAUCUCCUUCCUUUGGUG